ACUCAUCGAUUCUCAACCCUUAAAGGACUUGCUUCCGCAGCCUAUAUACAUGGAUAUCAUGAGGAUGGCAUUUAAUGAGCAUGCAGCUAUAAGUGAUGGAGAGGCUAGAGGAGGUACUGUAGGAAGCAGCAGUACGAUACGACAUUUUGAUGCAGCCGCUGCCGACGAUAGGGAUCACGACGAUAGGGACCAAGAUGACUACGAUGAAUGAGUACUGAGUUAGACUUUUUUGUUACUUUUAUCGACUUUUGGAUUGUGUUGAGCAUAUAAUGACCUCCGGAUUAUAUAUAUACGUGAAGUUAUACUUUUUUGUUA